GGAAGGAUCAUUAUCGAAAUCGAAAGCCUAGGAGAAGGGGGGGACGCGAGACUGUCGCUGGCCUUUUCGGCGCGUGCACGUGUCCGUCCCUCCCGCCUUCGAAGCUUUGAACCCCUCCACACCCGUGUGCACCCGCCGUAGGUCCUUCGGGAUCUAUGUCUUCUCUUCCGAACUCGCAUGUCUACAGAAUGUAUGCGUCGCGCAGGCGACUGCGAACCUUUGUACAACUUUCAGCAAUGGAUCUCUUGGCUCUCGCAUCGAUGAAGAACGCAGCGAAUCGCGAUAAGUAAUGUGAAUUGCAGAUUUUCCGUGAAUCAUCGAAUCUUUGAACGCACCUUGCGCUCCUCGGUAUUCCGAGGAGCAUGCCUGUUUGAGUGUCAUCGAAAUCUCGAACCGAAGUCUUUCGACCUCGGUCUCGGACAUUGGGAGCGUGCGGGCGGCGACGUCGGCUCUCCUCAAAAGCAUUAGCUGUGGGCGUGGGCCUUCGCACGGCACGGCCGCUUCGACGUCAUAAUGAUCGUCGUGGGCUGGAAGUGCGUGGGUCGACGUGUCCCCAUGCUUCGAAACCUCCCGCGAGUCCGUCCUUUGUCUGGACGGGUCGCGCGCACGAUCGACGCUUGACCUCAAAUCAGGUAGGACUACCCGCUGAACUUAAGCAUAUCAAUAAGCGGAGGAAAAGAAACUAACGAGGAUUCCCCUAGUAACUGCGAGUGAAGCGGGAAAAGCUCAAAUUUCGAAUCUGGCGGUCCUCGGCCGUCCGAGUUGUAAUCUAGAGAAGCGUCUUCCGCGCCGGACCGUGUACAAGUCUCCUGGAAGGGAGCAUCGUAGAGGGUGACAAUCCCGUCUCUGACACGGACCCCCCGGGGCUAUGUGAUGCGCUCUCGACGAGUCGAGUUGUUUGGGAAUGCAGCUCAA
rnacentral:rRNA from 1 species